CGGGGGCCAGAGGGGGUUUGGGGACGGAACAGAAAGGUCGGACACCACAGACCCGGCCGGCGCACGCACAGCGGCCGCCCCAAGGCUGCUCUGCGCUUCGCAAGUCCUCGAGCCUCUCAGGAAAUCCGGCCGCCGUCCGGCUUAGCCAACUUGGCCCGCCCCACUUGGAUGCCCCGGCCGCCCCCAGACCGCGGCCGCCCCUCCGUCAUGUCAACAGUUACCGAAUCCGAUUGUGUCCUGUAUUAAAUGUUAAAUGAAUAUAUGAUCCCUGCUUUCAAAGAAUCCAUGGUCUGUGGGAGAACUGCAGCUAUAAACAGAUCAGAGUGAAAUAUGUAUAUAAACAACCACAAGGGCCCAAAGAAUGGAGCUGCCAAGGCUCCUUUGG